GAUGAACGCUGGCGGCGUGCUUAACACAUGCAAGUCGAACGGUGAACACGGAGCUUGCUCUGUGGGAUCAGUGGCGAACGGGUGAGUAACACGUGAGCAACCUGCCCCUUACUCUGGGAUAAGCUCUGGAAACGGCGUCUAAUUCUGGAUAUGUGACGUGAACGCAUUGUCUCAGUUUGGAAAGAUGUUUCUGCUGGGGCUGGUCUCGCGGCCUAUCAGCUUGUUGGUGAGGUAAUAGCUCACGACGGCGUCGACGGGUAGCCGGCCUGCGAGGGUGACCGGCCACACUGGGAUUAAGACACGGCCCAGACUCCUACGGGAGGCAGCAGUGGGGAAUCUUGCACAAUGGGCCAAAGCCUGAUGCAGCAACGCCGCGUGAGGGAUGACGGCCUUCGGGUUGUAAACCUUUGUUAGCAGGGAAGAAGCGAAAGUGACGGUACCUGCAGAAAAAGCGCCGGCUAACUACGUG
rnacentral:rRNA from 1 species